UUUCAUACUAUAUGUAUAAACAUUAUCAAAGUCUAUAUUACAUUGAUACCUUCGGCUUGUUUGAAGGUGAAGACAUGAGAGCAAAUACAAUACAACGUGAACAAUACGGGGGUACUGUUGAUCUAUUUAUAGGCACGGGACGCAGACCGAGUAAAAAUACAUUUAUGACCUUAACGUGUACACAUAAUCCUAAUACAAAACAUCAGGGAUUAACUAGUCUUUUUCUCUUCAACUCAACAUUAUGUUUGACCUUCGUCGCCACAUUAAGUUGAAGCUGUCGUUCUUUGGCUCUUUACAUAUGUUCGUUGUAGCUUCGACAUUCGAUCUUGUCGCUUACAGACAAUAUCUCCGUCUUGAGGACCUUCGACAGAGGAGACCUCCAACAAGCUCGUCCAACACCUCAGGAAGACUUCCGCCUCGCCUGAGCAAGGCUCUGACCUCGAUAAAAGCAGCCAGGAAUCUCGACAUCAUCCCGCGCAAGGACGCUGACGCACCCCGUAAGCAGGCCUUUAGCCCAUACCCUGACGCUGUUACAACAACUACGGUAUGGGUAGCCUCUCCCCCGGGGGCUCGGGCGUACGGACAACCCCUCGGCCUUUGCCUCGGCUCUCAGCAGGAAACCAGCAGGCACUAGUCAAUAAUGCAGUGCACCAUCAUGUCGGCUGGCAGGGCGCCAAGACAUCUCUCCUUCGAAUACAACCACACCAGGCUUCACCGUGGACACCCCCUUUGUGUAUAAAUAGGACAGUAGAGUUCCUCCAGGAGGACGCACAGACAAGCAGGACACUCAGACGAACACUCUAUUCUCCAACCAGUCUUCGAUAUUGACACUUGCUUCAAUCAAUUCUAGGGACUUGGGAACUUUUCCUCUCCCGUCGUGCUUGUAAUCCCUACUGUAGGCACCUCGGUACAAGUAAUAUAAGCCUCAUGCCCCUCUGCUGGAAGUAGGGUCUUGCAUUACACGAACCAGGAUAAAUCGCUUGUGUCUACUAGCACACCAUCUAGAUUCUGGCCACACGACAUUAUUUACUAGUUAGUUAGGACCCUUAGUCCAAACACUGACAAAUAAAUACUGCCUUACACACACAUGAGUGAGGGGGGGGGGGGGGGUUGUGGUACCUCCAGAUCUAGCGGUGUACUAUGCCAUACACCAGCAUUGUCGCAGAUAGGGGAGGAGGUAGGGGCAAGCGAUGUAUGCUUUAGCGUUAGCAUGUAGCCCCUACAGGCACUAAGGAUGUCUGCAGCAGCGCCCUCUAAAUUUUAUCCCCUA
rnacentral:lncRNA from 1 species